GAUGAACGCUGGCGGCGUGCUUAACACAUGCAAGUCGAACGAAGCACCUUGAUUUGAUUCUUCGGAUGAAGAUCUUGGUGACUGAGUGGCGGACGGGUGAGUAACGCGUGGGUAACCUGCCUCAUACAGGGGGAUAACAGUUAGAAAUGACUGCUAAUACCGCAUAAGACCACAGCACCGCAUGGUGCAGGGGUAAAAACUCCGGUGGUAUGAGAUGGACCCGCGUCUGAUUAGGUAGUUGGUGGGGUAACGGCCUACCAAGCCGACGAUCAGUAGCCGACCUGAGAGGGUGACCGGCCACAUUGGGACUGAGACACGGACCAAACUCCUACGGGAGGCAGCAGUGGGGAAUAUUGCACAAUGGGGGAAACCCUGAUGCAGCGACGCCGCGUGAGCGAUGAAGUAUUUCGGUAUGUAAAGCUCUAUCAGCAGGGAAGAAAAUGACGGUACCUGACUAAGAAGCACCGGCUAAAUACGUG
rnacentral:rRNA from 1 species